GUAGGUGGCAAGCGUUGUCCGGAAUUAUUGGGGCGUAAAGCGCGCGCAGGCGGUUCUUUAAGUCUGAUGUGAAAGCCCACGGGCUCAACCGUGGAGGGUCAUUGGAAACUGGAGAACUUGAGUACAGAAGAGGAAAGCGGAAUUCCACGUGUAGCGGUGAAAUGCGUAGAGAUGUGGAGGAACACCAGUGGCGAAGGCGGCUUUCUGGUCUGUAACUGACGCUGAGGCGCGAAAGCGUGGGGAGCAAACAGGAUUGGAUACCCUGGUAGUCCACGCCGUAAACGAUGAGUGCUAAGUGUUAGGGGGUUUCCGCCCCUUAGUGCUGCAGCUAACGCAUUAAGCACUCCGCCUGGGGAGUACGGCCGCAAAGGCUG
rnacentral:rRNA from 1 species